CGGCGAGCAGCCUGUCAGGCCCCGCCCCCUGCAGCCAUGGUUACGCAGGCCGCGGCGUAAACCAGUCCCAGCGCGCACCCACACAGCCGCAGAGCCUCAGUGGGUGGUAGGUCGAAAGGACUUUUGUGUCGUACUGUUAUCGCUCAGGAACGUGUGGCGUUUGGGGUCGUUUGUAUGUCUGUUAAUAAUAAUAACACAAGGCACAUCGAGCUCCCUUUUCUCUGCAGCUCUCAUCAUGGCUCCCGGAGGCAGCCAAGCUUUUCGUGACCCGUGACGUUCUCGGCUACGUGUUCUUUUCCGGGAGCGAGUUCCGGAUGGCGCGUCGAUGCCGGGAUCUUGGCGCUGGGAACCCUAAAGGCCUCGGACUCGCCGGAAGUCGCUCCGCCCUUGCAGAGGCUGGACUGGAGGAAACCUUUUGGUUCCGGUGCGGGUGAACUGUUCCUUUCCCCAGAACGACACAGGCCCAGGCUUUCUUCCUACUUGGCUUCCCAGACAGAAGAAAAACGUGUACCAUCCGAAGGCACUGAAGGGAGAAAGGUGGCCUGAAUUUGUCUCAGUGCUGCUUUACUUUACACCUUUUUGGUCAGGCCUUCCGUCACCGCCCUUUGACCCGUGCAAUUCAGAUAGAAGAAGCUUCCAGCAAGUUCCACGGGACGGGGAUGGGGCGGGGGGGGGGGAGCAGGAAGGAGUGGGAGUGAGCGGCUCUCAGUAGAGGUAAACAAGUAACUGAACUCGAGUGUCUGCCACAUCCAGAAUCUAAACUAAGUCCUGGGAUUCAAUGAUGUUAAUGCCUUCCAGAAACUUAAGCCAGUUUUGUUCAAAGUGCUAAAACCAAAGAAGGGCAAUAGUCAGUGAUGUGAUAGCAACAAGGGACGCAGCCGAAUAUAAGAAUCCAUCUCUGUUGCUAACAACCAAGAACCCAAACUGACAGUUUGGUAUUUGGAAGUGGAAUGCUACAAAACAGACUCUAGUAUGUAUCACCCGCCAGAUGGAAAAGAAAGGAUGCAAGGCACUGAAGACAACUACUCCAGACUGGGAAAAUGGUGACCCUGAGACAGGACAUCAAACUCACACCAUCAAGAAAUGUAUUCUAAAGCUGAGAAGCCUUGGAAAGAGAUUUAUUCCCAGUGCUCAUGCUGGUGUGGCAGUGGAGGACAAGAAAGCAGGGGCCACAGGUGAUCUGAAACAGAGGACUGCGAAUCACCUUGAAGACCCUAGUCAUGAAACUGGAUCAAGUAGCUGGAUGACACUUCAGCUGAUCUCUCUUUAGGAGAGAAAUCAUGCUUCCUGUAGGUGUGAGCAUUUUUGGAAGUAUAUGUGUGGAAAGAAGGCUGUGUAUAGAUGACAGUAGACUACAUCAUUCCUCCCUUCUUCCUUGCUAUGGAGUCCAAUUUUGUUUGACUGUCCAUCUCCCCAACACAUGACUAAGUCAUCUAUGGUAAUCCUGCUUCCUUGGCCAGCACUUGGUUUAGGAAGGGGUAUAUAUGACCAGUCUAGCCAAUGAGCUCUGAAGAGAUGGCUGCUCAGGGUGCUCUGGGAAAGGUCUCCUUACUGAUAAACAGAAACAUAGAAGAACUACUGCAGCUAUCUUGCACCACAGCAGAAGCCAUCCUGGAAACUAAACCAAAAUACUGAGAAAAGCAGAAAGAUGGAAGAAAUCUGGUUGCUCAGUAUCACUACUGUGCUCCUGAAUUAAGAAACCUGGAAACCUCCGAACUUUAGACUUCUAAUUUUGUACUAUUUAAUAAUUUUGAAUAGGGUUUUUGGUUCCUUGCAAUUGAAAGCAUCCAAAUCCUAUCUGACAGUAUGAUUUGGAGAGUAAAAUUUGAAGAUAAGGCUGGUGGGAUCAAGGAGUUUUGUGAAACCAUGCAGGGCCUCAAAUCCAGCUGAGGAUAGUAAGAAACCACUGAAUGGCUUGGUACAAUUAAGUGCACCCCUGUUGCACUGGGGAAGAACACAUUGAAGGGGGACAAGGUGAAGACAACAGAGAAGAACAGUGAUCUUUAGAUAAAACUUGGGAGAACUCUAACCUUUGAAAAAGUCCCUGGAGCAACCCAAGAGGAACAUUAAGAAAUUAUUAUAAAGGCAGGAAGAGGACAGGAGAGAGUUGGGCACAAAAGUAAAGGCAAUAGAGUUUAAAGGAACAGUGAGUUAUAAAAGGUUAUCAAAUAUUGGAGAGGUCAAUAAAGAGAAGAAGGGGGGAAUCUGGCAAUAUGGAAAUUGAUUCCUUUUUAGUGACUUUUGCAACAGUAAUUUCAGGGUAAUAGGGCAAAUGUACUACUACGGUGGGUUAAAGAACCACUGACAGACGAAUGGAUAAAGAAGAUGUGGUACAUAUAUACAAUGGAAUAUUACUCAGCCAUCAAAAAGAAUGAGAUAAUGUCAUUUGCAGCAACAUGGAUGGACCUAUAGAUUAUCAUACUAAGCGAAGUAAAUCAGAAAGAGAAAUACCAUAUGAUAUCACUUAUAUGUGGCAUCUAAAAUAUGGUACAAAUCAACAUAUCUAUGAAAUAAAAACAGACUCAGAUACAGAGAACAGACUUGUGGUUGCCAAGGAGCGGGGUGGGUGGGUGGGCUAGGGGCGGGAAGGAAUGGGAGUUUGGGAUUAGCAGAGGCAAACUAUUACAUAUAGCAUGUUUAAACAACAAGGUCAUACUGUAUAGCACAGGGAACUAUUUUCAAUACUCUGCGGCACACCACAGUGGAAAAGAAUAUGAAAAAGAUAUAGGGACUUCCUUGGUGGUCCAGUGGUUAAGACUCCACACUUCCACUGCAGGGGGCGCGGGUCUGGCUCCUGGUCAGGGAACCAUGAUCCCACAUGCCAAGUGGCCAAAAAAAGAAGGAAUAUGUAAAUGUAUAACUGAGUCACUUUGCGGUAUAAAAGAAAUUAACACUGUAAAUCAACUAUACUUCAAUGAAAUUUUUAAGAAAAAGAAUGAAUGGAAAGUGAGGAAAGUAGCAGGUUUAUAAGUUAAGGACAGUGACAGUAACAUUGCAGGUACUUCCUUAAUACAUGUUGAAUCAAUGACUUGAUGUAGAAAGGCCACGUACUGAGUAAGAGUUAUGUCCCUAUUCAGGAGUUCAGUACUGGGAGAUUAUAUUAGGGGAUGCAUGGCUAGAGUUCUAAGGGAGGAAAACUCUUCCUUGAUCCUCUUAGGGUCCCUGCCUGGGCCUAAAGCUCAAACUGACAAAGACAUUAAAGAAGAAAAGCAUAUUAAGUUUUCUGUAACGUGGGAGCCUCCAUAAGGAAAUGAAGACUCAAAGAAAUGGUUAAGCCUGAACAUUUUUAUACUAGGUUUGAUGAAGAAUGGAAAGUCAUAGAAAAACAAUGGAACAGAAGGGUAUGAGCUAAGGGUAGUAAACUGGAGAAAACUAGCAAGGUCUGUUCCUUCAGAUUCUUCUCUGUUUCCCUCCAUCUUCAGAGAUAAGAAUGCUCCUUUAAAAAUCAUAUUUGGGGUCUUCCCUGGUGGCGCAGUGGUUGAGAGUCCGCCUGCCGAUGCAGGGGACGCGGGUUCGUGCCCUGGUCUGGGAAGAUCCCACAUGCCGCGGAGCGGCUGGGCCCGUGAGCCAUGGCCACUGAGCCUACACGUCUGGAGCCCGUGCUCCGCAACAGGAGAGGCCACAACGGUAAGAGGCCCGCGUAUUGCAAAAAAAAAAAAAAAAAAAAAAAAAAAAAUCAUAUUUGGGAAGAAUAUUAACUGACAUGAGGAAAUGAAUAAGUGGAAGUUACUACUGGGUAUAGGCGUAUUGUAUUGAGAUUUUAAUUUUGUUACAUUUUUCUGUUUCUGUGUUUUCCAAGUUUAACAAUUAACUGAUCUAAUUUCUAAUUAGAAAACUUGUUUUUUAGAGUGUGUUUAAUAUUAUCGCUGGGAACAUUUUAUUUUCUAAUUUUUGGAGCUUUGUAAUCCAUUGUGUCAUGUCCGGAAACUGCCAUUUGGCAUGGUAGAAAGGAAAACUGAGAGGAUGACAUUCUGCAAUUCUAAUCUGACUAAUGGAGGCUGUUAUAUAAACGUUUAAUAACACUGUAAUACUAGCAACAUUGUCUGUAUACUUGUUCUUAAGGAACAUUUUCUUGAAAACAAAAACACAGGAUUUUUACAUGAUUUAUUUAAUAAUAAACCAAUUAAAGAUACAAAAACGUUUAGAGGAUUCCAAAAUUUAAAUUUUUGUUUAAAUACAAAUUCACUCUGUAACAUGAAAACACAUAACAUUAGACCUCUAAACAUAAUGAUUCUUUCAACUACAAAAAUUUCUUUUUGCUAUACUAGAAAAUUUGCAGAAAACAAUUUUUCUUGUGAAAUUAAAUGUACAUUAUUUACAGUUGAAAAAGUAAUCUAAAAACUAUUGCAUUUCAGAAACUGGGAUAUAUAAUGUAUAUCUUUGUAUGCAAUUCCCCCUCCCCCCACUCUCAAUAAAAAAAAUGAUCCAAAAUAUAAAGCAAUUAUGCUUUUAUAGCAACUGACUACUCAGCCAGAUUAGCCCAAGGCUUGGUUGCUUUCUGGGGCCUUAAAGAGCCCUGACUCUUUCAGAAUAGCAGUAUAUCAUUUAGCACUCAGCAACAUAAGUUUUUUACUAGUGGACCACAGUGCACAGUGGCCUAAAGAGUUAAUGAACAAAGUAUUUAGGAGGAAUUCAGGUUCAGAGCAAAUCUUAACAGGUAACAGCAAAAUGAAUUUUGUAGGGUCAUUAAUUUUUCUGCAAUAUUUUAGCUAUAUUUACAGUAGGAGAUAAGCUUAAAACAUAGGGCUUAGAAUCAUAAAAUUUAGAACUAGAUAGGAAAUUGGAGAUCAUCUAAUACAUCUAAUCAUCAUCCAAUACAUCUCUCCUCUUAUGAUGCCCAGAAAGGUCAAGUAGCUUGCCCAAGGUUAUACAACUAGUUAGUAGGAGAGCCACUCUUAGGCUGAUACUUUUAUAUUAUCCUGCUUCUGAAACAGGUUCAGCCAUAUCAUGGGCACAUUUCGAUUUUUAAUGUUAUAAUUUACACAGUCAUAGUUCAAUAUACAGUGCAACAAACUAAAGUCGAUCUAAGUGAAAUCAUAAUUUUAACAAGGCAUAAAAUAGGUGUCUUGCAUUUGAAAGAGUCAAGACUUAACCUAUACAAGUGGAAUGAAAAUAGCUCCUAUAUAAAUUUCCUGAUGUCAUAUUUAAGUACUGUAUUUACAGAAGAAUCAGAAAAGCUAAUACAAUGUAAAAUUUAAAAAGAAACUUUAAAAA